UGUAGCGUGGCCGAGUGGUCUAAGGUUUUGGAUUAAGGCUCCAGUGUCUUUGGGGGCGUGGGUUCAAAUCCCACCGCUGCCA
rfam:Oreochromis niloticus linkage group LG5, whole genome shotgun sequence.